UUCAUGUAGGAUUUGUAGAGCAAUUGUACUUCAAUGAUCCAGUAUCUGGAAUUGUCUUUUUUGAACGAGUUCCCAUGAGAUGUAGCCACGUACGUAACUACAUUUAAAAGAACAUUUUAAUUUAUGCACUUAAUAGCCACGUACGACUCAAUUUUCCUUAAAGGGCAGUUGAAAAUGUACAAUUUCAUGUAGGAUUUGUAGAGCAAUUGUACUUCAAUGAUCCAGUAUCUGGAAUUGUCUUUUUUGAACGAGUUCCCAUGAGAUGUAGCCACGUACGUAACUACAUUUAAAAGAACAUUUUAAUUUAUGCACUUAAUAGCCACGUACGACUCAAUUUUCCUUAAAGGGCAGUUGAAAAUGUACAAUUUCAUGUAGGAUUUGUAGAGCAAUUGUACUUCAAUGAUCCAGUAUCUGGAAUUGUCUUUUUUGAACGAGUUCCCAUGAGAUGUAGCCACGUACGUAACUACAUUUAAAAGAACAUUUUAAUUUAUGCACUUAAUAGCCACGUACGACUCAAUUUUCCUUAAAGGGCAGUUGAAAAUGUACAAUUUCAUGUAGGAUUUGUAGAGCAAUUGUACUUCAAUGAUCCAGUAUCUGGAAUUGUCUUUUUUGAACGAGUUCCCAUGAGAUGUAGCCACGUACGUAACUACAUUUAAAAGAACAUUUUAAUUUAUGCACUUAAUAGCCACGUACGACUCAAUUUUCCUUAAAGGGCAGUUGAAAAUGUGCAAUUUCAUGUAGGAUUUG